UGGGGUCUCUAUGGUGGUUUGGGGUCUCUAUGGGGUCUCUAUGGGGUGGGUUGGGGUCAAUGUGGGGUGGUUUGGGGUCUCUAUGGGGUCUCUAUGGGGCUCUUUGGGGUCACUAUGGGGUUUCUAUGGGGUGAUUUAGAGACAACAUGGGGUGGUUUGGGGUCACUAUGGGGUCUCUAUGGGGUGGUUUGGGGGUCCUGGGUUGCUUUGGGGUCACUAUGGGGACUUUAUGGGGUGAUUUGGGGUCUCUAUGGGGUGGUUUGGGGUCUCUAUGAGGUGAUUUGGGGUCACUAUGGGGUCUCUAUGGGGUGGUUUGGGGUCUCUAUGGGGUGAUUUGGGGUCACUAUGGGGUCUCUAUGGGGUGGU